CUCAGGUGAAUGUGUACGUGCUGGGAAAGACGUUUCUUCUCUUGGCAAGAGAGCUCUGCAUCAAUGCGCCGGCCAUAGGUAGGCAUCUGGGUGAGAUGCUGGGGUGUCCAGCAGGCUGCUGUAGGGACCAGCGUGCCAAAUGUCCUUUGAACAAUGGAGGGAAAUCCUGUCCAAGCAUGGGACCCCUCAAGGUAAGAAAUGUUUCUUAAAGCUGCUAGGAGCUCAGCAAUGUGGGGCCUUAUUUUCUAAGACAGAGUCUCGCUGUUGUCCAGGCUGGAGUGCAGUGGCACAAUCAUAGCUCACUGCAGCCUCAAACUCCUGGCCUCAAGCGAUCCUCCUGCCUUCGCCUCCCAAAGCACUGGGAUUACAGGCAUGAGACCGCACCUGGCCUGGGGCUUGCUUUCUGCUGCAAAACCAGAAAGCCUGUUGUCAGUGCCUGUCAGGUGGCAGGAAGGUGUAGACGGGGAAACAGAAGUGCUGCGUGCUGGGAGCAUCUUGUGUGGACAAGGUUUAAGGAACACACGUGGCACCAGGUGCCUCUGGACAGAUGGGGACAGUGGGGCAGCUCCUGGUUGUGCUUUCCAGCCAUAGCCCUCUUUUGUGGUUUUUCUGCCACUUUUGUUCUGUGUUGUGUGCUAGUUUGUGAAACUCCUGUAUGCCUUUCUUGACGUGUGUUAGGUGUAGGGUAAGUCCUGUCUCCCCCUCAAGGCAGCAGCAGUGUUCAUGCAUGCAGAAUCUAACCUAGUAGAAAAGUCUAGAAGGAAAGGAUCAACUUUGGGUAGAGAAGCACCAGGUGGGGCUGGGUCACCAACAGGACUGAGCAGCAUGGGCUGCAGCAGCAGAGGGGCACUGGCUGGGGCUAUACACUCGGCCCAUGCCCUCUGCCAGGUGCCAAGAGGGGCCAUCCCAGGUUUUCUCCUCGGGAUGGGAGGGAGCUGUUCUGUUGCAUGAGAAAGAGAAUACCCCACUGUACAACUGCUGUAGUCAUUUACUGACACGUGGGUGUUAUUUUAGGCAAUGUUUAUUACAGAAGUCCACUAUUUUAAGUGACUUUUUGCCAAUUUUAGAUUUGAAGGGAAGGUCUCAAGUUAAGCUUGGAACCACUUAGAAUCCAAGAGGGUAGCAGGAACAUCCAACCCCUCAAAGCAGGUGGCGUGGGUGCCACUGGGAGGGGAUCUGGGGCCUGUCUUGAGCCGUAAAUCUUCCUCCACCUGAGACGUGCACCCCAGUGUACCAGAGAUGCCUAAGACUCCAAUCCCUGCGUUCUAGCUGUGUGGAAAAGGUCUCUAGACAGUCAAGCUUCAGCUGACUACAUGUCAAAGAGAGACAAAAUUAAGAGCAGCCUUUCAUGGUGUCAAGAAGCAGUUAGCAUCUUGACUUCCCCUCCACUCACUCGCUGACCCGCUGCAGCCUCCCCGGGCACCUCACGCAUAGAAAAUGAGCUCAGGGAUCUGCCCACCCUGGACCCCAGUCCCAUUGGUGCUGUCCGAGGAGCACUGGAACUGGAAGGCCACCUUU
rnacentral:lncRNA from 1 species